rnacentral:lncRNA from 1 species
UUCCAUCGAUGUAAAGACGUGUUCAUAAGGGUUACUUGGUGAUGGAAUCUUAGUAGAAAUAUUAUUUAAUUUAGUUUUUAACUUUGACACUUAUUUUAAGAAACAUAAUUAUGGUUUGAUUUAAUAGAUUUUAUUAGAUAUUUCCACUUAAAAUAGGAUAUUUGAAACCCUAUAUAAAAGGCUUUAUGCAUUGUAAUAG